rnacentral:rRNA from 1 species
AACGAACGCUGGCGGCAGGCUUAAUACAUGCAAGUCGAACGCUCCAGCAAUGGAGAGUGGCAGACGGGUGAGUAACGCGUGGGAAUCUACCCAAUACUACGGAAUAGCUCCGGGAAACUGGAAUUAAUACCGUAUGUGCCCUACGGGGGAAAGAUUUAUCGGUAUUGGAUGAGCCCGCGUUGGAUUAGCUAGUUGGUGGGGUAAUGGCCUACCAAGGCGACGAUCCAUAGCUGGUCUGAGAGGAUGAUCAGCCACACUGGGACUGAGACACGGCCCAGACUCCUACGGGAGGCAGCAGUAGGGAAUAUUGGACAAUGGGCGAAAGCCUGAUCCAGCCAUGCCGCGUGAGUGAUGAAGGCCUUAGGGUUGUAAAGCUCUUUCAGUGGGGAAGAUAAUGACGGUACCCACAGAAGAAGCCCCGGCUAACUUCGUGCCAGCAGCCGCGGUAAUAC